UACGGUUGCAAAGCUGAAACUUAAAGGAAUUGACGGAAGGGCACCACCAGGAGUGGAGCCUGUGGCUUAAUUUGACUCAACACGGGAAACCUCACCCGGUCCGGACACUGGAAGGAUUGACAGACUAAAGCUCUUUCUUGAUUCAGUGGGUGGUGGUGCAUGGCCGUUCUUAGUUGGUGGAGUGAUUUGUCUGGUUAAUUCCGAUAACGAACGAGACUCUCGCCUGCUAAAUAGUUUUCCAUACGUUACUUUAUGGAACCUAAAACUUCUUAGAGGUACAAGUGGCGUUUAGCCACACGAAACAGAGCAAUAACAGGUCUGUGAUGCCCUUAGAUGUCCGGGGCCGCACAUGUGCUACAAUGAAUGCAUCAACGUGUAUCAGCCUCGCCCGAAAGGGUUGGGGAAUCCGCUGAACGGCAUUCUCAGUAGGGAUUGGGGAUUGCAAUUAUUUCCCAUGAACACGGAAUUCCCAGUAGGCGCCAGUCAUCAGCUGGCGUCGAUUGAGUCCCUGCCCUUUGUACACACCGCCCGUCGCUACUACCGAUCGCUCUUGUUAAUGAGCUUGUCGGAUUGGACCCGGUGAGCAGUCGUUGCGCUUCAUCUCCUCGCGGGGUGGGCCUUCGUCUGCGAGCUUUUGGUGUAUGCCGAGAAGAUCGGCAAAUUAUCUGGAGUAGAGGAAGUAAAAGUCGUAACAAGGUAUCCGUAGGUGAACCUGCGGAUGNNNNNNNNNNAAAAGAGAAGCCGCCGAGUGGCGAGUUGUUGAAAGUAGCCCAGCGAAACAACGGAACAAACCCUCGGAAUAAGAAAGAAAAAGACGUGCUGUACGAAAAAGUGCAACG
rnacentral:rRNA from 1 species